UACGAAGGGGGCUAGCGUUGCUCGGAAUCACUGGGCGUAAAGGGUGCGUAGGCGGGUCUUUAAGUCAGGGGUGAAAUCCUGGAGCUCAACUCCAGAACUGCCUUCGAUACUGGCGAUCUUCGAGUCCGGGAGAGGUGGGUGGAACUGCGAGUGUAGAGGUGAAAUUCGUAGAUAUUCGCAAGAACACCAGUGGCGAAGGCGGCUCACUGGCCCGUAACUGACGCUGAGGCACGAAAGCGUGGGGAGCAAACAGG
rnacentral:rRNA from 1 species